rnacentral:rRNA from 1 species
UGUCCGGUCGCGAUGGGACUGAGAUACGGCCCAUACUCCUACGGGAGGCAGCAGUGGGGAAUCUUGCACAAUGGACGAAAGUCUGAUGCAGCAAUUUCGCGUGAAGGAUGAAGCAUUACGGUGUGUAAACUUCUUUUUUGGCAGAAGACGAAUGACGGUAUGUCAAGAAUAAGAGACGGCUAACUACGUGCCAGCAGCCGCGGUAAUACGUAGGUCUCAAGCGUUGUCCGGAUUUACUGGGCGUAAAGUGUCCGUAGUCUGAAUUGUAAGUCUGUUUUCAAAUCCUACGACUCAAUCGUAGAAAGGGAAUGGAUACUGCAGAUCUAGAAGUAUCUAGGGGUUAGUGGAAUUUCCGGUGGAGCGGUGAAAUGCGUUGAUAUCGGAAGGAACGCCGAAAGCGAAAGCAGCUAACUAUAGAAUACUUGACGAUGAGGGACGACAGUUUGGGGAGCAAACAGGAUUAGAUACCCUGGUAGUCCAAACCGUAAAUUAUGCUUGCUAGAUGUUUUUAUCAAUUUAUUGGUAGGAGUGUCGUAAUCUAACGAGUUAAGCAAGCCGCCUGGGUAGUAUAUUCGCAAGAAUGAAACUCAAAGGGAUAGGCGGGGGAACACACAAGCAGUGGAUUAUCUAGAUUAAUUGGAUAAUAAGCCAAGAAUCUUACCUAGGAUUGACAUGUAUUGUGUCUCAGGUGAAAGCCUGAUAUCCGUAGCAAUACGGAGCUUUACACAGGUGGUGCAUGGUCGUCGUCAGCUCGUGCCGCAAGGUGUCUAGUUAAGUCUGGAAACGAGCGCAACCCUCGUGUUUAGUUAGUAUGUCUAAACAGACUGCUCGGGUAACCGAGAGGAAGGAGAGGAUGACGUCAGAUCCU